rnacentral:rRNA from 1 species
GAUGAACGCUGGCGGCGUGCUUAACACAUGCAAGUCGAACGGAAAGGCCCAAGCUUGCUUGGGUACUCGAGUGGCGAACGGGUGAGUAACACGUGGGUGAUCUGCCCUGCACUUCGGGAUAAGCCUGGGAAACUGGGUCUAAUACCGGAUAGGACGAUGGUUUGGAUGCCAUUGUGGAAAGUUUUUUCGGUGUGGGAUGAGCUCGCGGCCUAUCAGCUUGUUGGUGGGGUAAUGGCCUACCAAGGCGUCGACGGGUAGCCGGCCUGAGAGGGUGUACGGCCACAUUGGGACUGAGAUACGGCCCAGACUCCUACGGGAGGCAGCAGUGGGGAAUUUGCACAAUGGGCGCAAGCCUGAUGCAGCGACGCCGCGUGGGGGAUGACGGCCUUCGGGUUGUAAACUCCUUUCGCUAGGGACGAAGCGUUUUUGUGACGGUACCUGGAGAAGAAGCACCGGCUAACUACGUG